rnacentral:rRNA from 1 species
CUAAGUUUGAUGGCGACCGGCGCACGGGUGAGUAACACGUAUCCAACCUGCCGAUGACUCGGGGAUAGCCUUUCGAAAGAAAGAUUAAUACCCGAUGGCAUAGUUCUUCCGCAUGGUAGAACUAUUAAAGAAUUUCGGUCGUCGAUGGGGAUGCGUUCCAUUAGGUUGUUGGCGGGGUAACGGCCCACCAAGCCUUCGAUGGAUAGGGGUUCUGAGAGGAAGGUCCCCCACAUUGGAACUGAGACACGGUCCAGACUCCUACGGGAGGCAGCAUG